ACCUUCGGGCCUCUUGCCAUCAGAUGUGCCCAGAUGGGAUUAGCUUGUUGGUGAGGUAACGGCUCACCAAGGCGACGAUCCCUAGCUGGUCUGAGAGGAUGACCAGCCACACUGGAACUGAGACACGGUCCAGACUCCUACGGGAGGCAGCAGUGGGGAAUAUUGCACAAUGGGCGCAAGCCUGAUGCAGCCAUGCCGCGUGUAUGAAGAAGGCCUUCGGGUUGUAAAGUACUUUCAGCGGGGAGGAAGGUGUUGUGGUUAAUAACCGCAGCAAUUGACGUUACCCGCAGAAGAAGCACCGGCUAACUCCGUGCCAGCAGCCGCGGUAAUACGGAGGGUGCAAGCGUUAAUCGGAAUUACUGGGCGUAAAGCGCACGCAGGCGGUCUGUCAAGUCGGAUGUGAAAUCCCCGGGCUCAACCUGGGAACUGCAUUCGAAACUGGCAGGCUUGAGUCUUGUAGAGGGGGGUAGAAUUCCAGGUGUAGCGGUGAAAUGCGUAGAGAUCUGGAGGAAUACCGGUGGCGAAGGCGGCCCCCUGGACAAAGACUGACGCUCAGGUGCGAAAGCGUGGGGAGCAAACAGGAUUAGAUACCCUGGUAGUCCACGCCGUAAACGAUGUCUACUUGGAGGUUGUGCCCUUGAGGCGUGGCUUCCGGAGCUAACGCGUUAAGUAGACCGCCUGGGGAGUACGGCCGCAAGGUUAAAACUCAAAUGAAUUGACGGGGGCCCGCACAAGCGGUGGAGCAUGUGGUUUAAUUCGAUGCAACGCGAAGAACCUUACCUGGUCUUGACAUCCACAGAACUUUCCAGAGAUGGAUUGGUGCCUUCGGGAACUGUGAGACAGGUGCUGCAUGGCUGUCGUCAGCUCGUGUUGUGAAAUGUUGGGUUAAGUCCCGCAACGAGCGCAACCCUUAUCCUUUGUUGCCAGCGGUUAGGCCGGGAACUCAAAGGAGACUGCCAGUGAUAAACUGGA
rnacentral:rRNA from 1 species